AUCUUCUCGUGAGCUCCUUUCUGUCCAUCAGUGACAGUUUAUGGAUUCGCAAGAGAAGAAGAGCCAAUUCACAGCACUAGCACUGUUAUGCCUCUGUCUUCACAGAGGUAGACUCUGCUGUCCUGUGGGACAGGC